CCUCACUACUGCAGCAGACUGUACAUGGACUGGAGUUCUUCCUGGACAAAUCACUAUCUGGAACACUAAGAAAUUUCAAUGAAGUGCUCAGAUCAUGUAUCCCUCUUCUAAGAUAUCUCAACUCCUUGAGAUAGCUGAUCUUUGCUACCACCUCUCAACAAAUUGUUCAACUGGUUUUACAAGAGCAUCAGCAAGAGUCCUCCAGACACUAUUUUUUUAGACCCGUUUUGACUCCUCAGGAUGUUUCUGAUCACCUCUGAAUUGUUCAGGAACCAAUGAUAUUUACCUUGAAUAAAAGAAGAGACUGACUAUUUGAACUUUAUCAGAACCCACUACUACAAAAACGCAGGGAGUUUUGAGACCUCUUCCCAACCCCCUUCACCACACACAUAUUUUUGUGUUCCAGGAAAUUCCUACAGGCUCAUCAACUAACCAGCUAACUGCAAGGAUUAUCCUGCCCUGGAAUAUUACCAGGAAGGUCCACCUCCACCCUUCCUCAAUAAUUCAGAGAAGACCUGUCUCCAGGUUUCCUCAAGAUUCCUUUGUAUAUUUGUCUCUAUAAAUCCUCAGUCCCCUUUCCUUUUCUUUGAGUUGCUUCUUAUUAAUGAACAUUAUCCUCAUUGUGACAGCCUGAAUAAAAU
rnacentral:lncRNA from 1 species